rnacentral:rRNA from 1 species
GGGAUGAUGGGGACACUGUUGGGACCGCCUACGUGCUAAAGGAGGAGGAAGGAAUGGGCAACGGUAGGUCAGCAUGCCCCGAAUUAUCCGGGCUACACGCGGGCUACAAUGGUCAGGACAAUGGGUAUCGACACCGAGAGGUGGAGGCAAUACUCCUAAACCUGUCCUUAGUUCGGAUUGUGGGCUGCAACUCGCCCACAUGAAGCUGGAAUCCGUAGUAAUCGCGUUUCAAAAUAGCGCGGUGAAUAUGUCCCUGGCUCCUU